rnacentral:hammerhead_ribozyme from 1 species
AUCCAGCCAACGAGUCCCAAAUAGGACGAAACGCGCGUUCUGGAU